rnacentral:rRNA from 1 species
CUUCCUUUGUUAGCGGCGGAUGGGUGAGUAACACGUGGGCAACCUGCCCUGUAKUUGGGGAUAACUCCGGGAAACCGGGGCUAAUACCGAAUAAUUAKUUCCUUCSCAUGAAGGAACUCUGAAARACGGCUAUGCUGUCACUACGGGAUGGGCCCGCGGCGCAUUASCUAGUUGGUGAGGUAACGGCUUACCAAGGCGACRAUGCGUAGCCRACCUGAGAGGGUGAUCGGCCACACUGGGACUGARACACGGCCCARACUCCUACGGGAGGCAGCAGUAGGGAAUCUUCCACAAUGGACRAAAGUCUGAUGGASCAACGCCGCGUGAGCGAARAAGGUUUUCGRAUCGUAAAGCUCUGUUGUGAGGGAARAACAAGUAUAGGAGUAACUGCCUGUACCUUGACGGUACCUCAUUARAAAGCCACGGCUAACUACGUGCCA